UACGAAGGGGGGCUAGCGUUGCUCGGAAUGACUGGGCGUAAAGGGCGCGUAGGCGGCGCAUUUUAGUCAGGCGUGAAAUUCCUGGGCUCAACCUGGGGACUGCGCUUGAUACGGGUGUGCUUGAGGAUGGAAGAGGCUCGCGGAAUUCCCAGUGUAGAGGUGAAAUUCGUAGAUAUUGGGAAGAACACCGGUGGCGAAGGCGGCGAGCUGGUCCAUUACUGACGCUGAGGCGCGACAGCGUGGGGAGCAAACAGGAUU
rnacentral:rRNA from 1 species